GGGGAUAUAGCUCAGUUGGUAGAGUGCUUACCUCGACCCUGGGUUCAAUCCCCAGCAUCACUA
rnacentral:tRNA from 1 species